GAGCUUGAUCCUGGCUCAGAUUGAACGCUGGCGCCAUGCCUAACACAUGCAAUACGAACGGUAACGCGAGGAGCUUGCUCUUUGGAGACGAGUGGUGGACGGCGGAGAAAUACUUAGGAAUCUGCCCAUUAGUGGGGGACAACUCGGGCAAACUCGAGCUAAUACCGCAUACGCCCUACGGGGGAAAGCGGGGGAUCUUCGGACCUCGCGCUAUUGGAUGAGCCUAAGUCGGAUUAGUUUGUUGGUGGGGUAAAGGCCUACCAAGGCGACGAUCCGCAGCUGUUCUGAGAGGACGAUCAGCCACACCUGGGGCUGAGACUCGGCCCAGGCUCCUACGGGAGGCAGCAGUGGGGAAUAUUGGACAAUGUGGGCAACCCUGAUCCAGCAAUGCCGCGUGUGUGAAAAAGGCCUACGGGGUUGUAAAGCACUUUCAGUAGAGAAGAAAAGCUUAACCCGAAUAGCGGUGAGUCUUGACGUAACCUACAGAAAAAGCACCGGCUAACUCCGUGCCAGCAGCCCCGGUAAUACGGAGGGUGCAAGCGUUAAUCGGAAUUACUGGGCGUAAAGCGCGCGUAGGCGGUUUAGUAAGUCGGAUGUGAAAGCCCUGGGCUCAACCUUGGAAUUGCAUUCGAUACUGCUUAACUAGAGUAUGGUAGAGGGAAGUGGAAUUUUCGGUGUAACGGUGAAAUGCGUAGAUAUCGGAAGGAACCCCAGUGGCGAAGGCGACUUCCUGGGCCAAUACGUACGCUGAGGUGCGAGAGCGUGGGGAGCAAACUGGAUUAGAUACCCUGGUAGUC
rnacentral:rRNA from 1 species